UACGUAGGGCGCAAGCGUUAUCCGGAAUUAUUGGGCGUAAAGGGCUCGUAGGCGGUUUGUCGCGUCGGGAGUGAAAACCUUGGGCUUAACUCAGGGCUUGCUUUCGAUACGGGCAGACUAGAGGUAUGCAGGGGAGAACGGAAUUCCUGGUGUAGCGGUGAAAUGCGCAGAUAUCAGGAGGAACACCGGUGGCGAAGGCGGUUCUCUGGGCAUGAUCUGACGCUGAGGAGCGAAAGUGUGGGGAGCGAACAGG
rnacentral:rRNA from 1 species